rnacentral:sRNA from 1 species
GUCGAUAACCUUGAGGUCGAAGCUUGUGUCCCAAACG